CGCGGGGUAGAGCAGUCCGGUAGCUCGUUGGGCUCAUAACCCAAAGGUCGUAGGUUCAAAUCCUACUCCCGCAACCA
rnacentral:tRNA from 1 species